rnacentral:rRNA from 1 species
UACGGAGGAUGCGAGCGUUAUCCGGAUUUAUUGGGUUUAAAGGGUGCGUAGGCGGAUUUUUAAGUCAGCGGUAAAAUGUCCGGGCUCAACCCGGGCCGGCCGUUGAAACUGGGGAUCUUGAGUGGGCGAGAAGUAUGCGGAAUGCGUGGUGUAGCGGUGAAAUGCAUAGAUAUCACGCAGAACUCCGAUUGCGAAGGCAGCAUACCGGCGCCCGACUGACGCUGAGGCGCGAAAGCGUGGGGAUCGAACAGG